UUGACCUCAAAUCAGGUAGGACUACCCGCUGAACUUAAGCAUAUCAAUAAGCGGAGGAAAAGAAACUAACAAGGAUUCCCCUAGUAACUGCGAGUGAAGCGGGAAAAGCUCAAAUUUAAAAUCUGAGGGUCCUUGCGGCCUUCCGAGUUGUAAUCUAGAGAAGUGUUAUCCGCGCUGGACCGUGUACAAGUCUCCUGGAACGGAGCGUCAUAGAGGGUGAGAAUCCCGUCUUUGACACGGACUACCAGGGCUUAUGUGAUGCGCUCUCAAAGAGUCGAGUUGUUUGGGAAUGCAGCUCUAAAUGGGUGGUAAAUUCCAUCUAAAGCUAAAUAUUGGCGAGAGACCGAUAGCGAACAAGUACCGUGAGGGAAAGAUGAAAAGAACUUUGGAAAGAGAGUUAAACAGUACGUGAAAUUGUUGAAAGGGAAACGCUUGAAGUCAGUCGCGUUGGCCAGAAAUCAACCUUGCCUUCUGCUUGGUGUACUUUCUGGUUAACGGGUCAGCAUCAAUUUUGACCGGUGGAUAAAGGUCAGGGGAAUGUGGCAUCUUUUGGGAUGUGUUAUAGCCCUUGGUUGCAUACAUCGGUUGGGAUUGAGGAACUCAGCACG
rnacentral:rRNA from 1 species